AACGAACGCUGGCGGCGCGCUUAACACAUGCAAGUCGAACGAGAAGCUGUAGCAAUACAGUUGUACAGUGGCGAACGGGUGAGGAAUACAUGGGUAACCUACCCUCGAGUGGGGAAUAACCAGCCGAAAGGCUGGCUAAUACCGCGUACGCUUCCCAGUCUGCGGGUUGGGAAAGGAAAGCUCUACCGUGGGUAGAGCGCUCAAGGACGGGCUCAUGUCCUAUCAGCUUGUUGGAGGGUAACGGCCUACCAAGGCAACGACGGGUAGCUGGUCUGAGAGGACGAUCAGCCACACUGGCACUGCGACACGGGCCAGACUCCUACGGGAGGCAGCAGUGAGGAAUAUUGCGCAAUGGGCGACAGCCUGACGCAG
rnacentral:rRNA from 1 species